rnacentral:tRNA from 1 species
CAAGCGCAAAAGGACUCGAACCCAUAUCUACGGUUUUGGAAACCGCCGCUCUACCUUUGAGCUAUGCACUC